rnacentral:rRNA from 1 species
AUUGAACGCUGGCGGCAGGCCUAACACAUGCAAGUCGAACGCGUGGCGGACGGGUGAGCAAUGGCUGGGAAACUGCCUGAUGGAGGGGGAUAACUACUGGAAACGGUAGCUAAUACCGCAUACCAUCGGAUGUGCCCAGAUGGGUGUAGCUAGUAGGGGGGGUAAAGGCUCACCUAGGCGACGAUCCCUAGCUGGUCUGAGAGGAUGACCAGCCACACUGGAACUGAGACACGGGCCAGACUCCUACGGGAGGCAGCAGUGGGGAAUAUUGGACAAUGGACGCAAGCCUGAUGCAGCCAUGCCGCGUGUAUGAAGAAGGCCUUCGGGUUGUAAAGUACUGUCAGCGGGGAGGCGUUACCCGAAGAAGAAGCACCGGCUAACUCCGUGCCAGCAGCCGCGGUAAUAC